AGUGAACGCUGGCGGUAGGCCUAACACAUGCAAGUCGAACGGCAGCACAGGAGAGCUUGCUCUCUGGGUUGCGAGUGGCGGACGGGUGAGUAAUACAUCGGAAUCUACCUUUUCGUGGGGGAUAACGUAGGGAAACUUACGCUAAUACCGCAUACGACCUUCGGGUGAAAGCAGGGGACCUUCGGGCCUUGCGCGGAUAGAUGAGCCGAUGUCGGAUUAGCUAGUUGGCGGGGUAAAGGCCCACCAAGGCGACGAUCCGUAGCUGGUCUGAGAGGAGGAUCAGGCAGACGGGACCUGCGACACGGUGCAGACGCCUACGGGAGGCAGGAGUGGGGAAUAGUGGACAAUGGGCGCAAACCUGUACCGGCCAUACGGCGUGGGUGAAGAAGGCCUGCGUGUUGUAAAGCCCUUUUGUUGGGAAAGAAAAGCAGCCAGCUAAUACCUGGUUGUUCUGACGGUACCCAAAGAAUAAGCACCGGCUAACUUCGUGCCAGCCGCCGCGGUAA
rnacentral:rRNA from 1 species